AAGCAGAUACUGCUCUUAUUGUAUCAGCAAGAGGAGGAGACUAUGAUACUGUAAAAGUACUGCUGGAUAAUGGAGCUGAUCCAAACAUAGGCAAAGAAUGGGAUUAUCAUGCUACAGCACUGAUUGAAGCAGCAAGAGAAGGACAUAGUAAUGUAGUUGAACUAUUAUUAUCCAAAGGAGCUGAUCCAAACUAUAUGGAU